rfam:Schistosoma curassoni strain Dakar, Senegal genome assembly, scaffold: SCTD_contig0009413
GUCCAGCUGACAAGUCCCAAAUAGGACGAGAUGCGUGCCCUGGAC